AGCUAUGAUGGCCCCACUUUCUCACAGGCAAAGGGGCUACAAGAAGGCCUUAUUGAGGAGUCACAUUCGAGUUAGAAGUGGGCUGGGUGCACCUCCAGUUUUAAACUGGGGUUUAGAGUGAUGUUGGGGAGCCUGGAUGCCUUUUCACCUCUUUCCCACCUGAAACCACAUUCUUAGAGAUUCACCCAUUGUGGUUCAGGCUCAGCUCACCAUUACACAGCAAAGCUUCCUGGGAAGCUUAUGUGCUAAAUUCUGUCGGCAAUUUCUCUCACAGAAGAGUAAGGGAGGUGAAGAUUGUACAUACCUGGGGCUAGCGUGCAUGUGAUGGGAAGAAGAAAACAUCUGGUCGUUGAGGGCACAUCAGUGGAAGUCCAAGCCCCCUCCACACACACACACACACACACACACACACACACACACACACACACACACACUAAUUUCAUUGCCAUUAGAAGUUAGCCUCCUUUAGAACAGGGCUUUAGGCUUCCCCCUGGCACCUGUGGGCAGGUGAGGGUCCACUGCUAGCCAGUGGUGUUCCCACUCGGGCCAGGGCAGCUCCUGGGCUGACAUUCUCCUGGAGUAUGACAGAAUGGGACCUGUGGGGAAAGCUGCCACGUCAGCAGCCAGCCCUGCUUUGCACUCUAGCAGCUAAUUAAAGCCGGGAAGGAAUAUUCAGUAGAAGAUACACAGACCUCACCUUCAUCAUCCACUACGGCCACUAAGGUCAACCAGAAAGGUCUAGGAUAAUAGAGCCCUGGAUGUAGUCCCAUCAUCAAUGUUAUCAUCAUCAGCAUCAGCAACUCCAUUGUGAUGUUUAUGCUGCACUUAGGAAGCUCUCAAAACACUUCAGG